AACGAACGCUGGCGGCAUGCCUAACACAUGCAAGUCGAACGGUAGAGGGGGCAACCCCUUGAGAGUGGCGAACGGGUGAGUAAUAUAUCGGAACGUGCCCAGUCGUGGGGAUAACGUAGCGAAAGUUACGCUAAUACCGCAUACGAUCUAUGGAUGAAAGCGGGGGAUCGCAAGACCUCGCGCGAUUGGAGCGGCCGAUAUCAGAUUAGGUAGUUGGUGGGGUAAAAGCUCACCAAGCCGACGAUCUGUAGCUGGUUUGAGAGAACGACCAGCCACACUGGGACUGAGACACGGCCCAGACUCCUACGGGAGGCAGCAGUGGGGAAUUUUGGACAAUGGGCGAAAGCCUGAUCCAGCAAUGCCGCGUGCAGGAAGAAGGCCC
rnacentral:rRNA from 1 species